rnacentral:rRNA from 1 species
UACAGAGGGGGCAAGCGUUAUUCGGAAUUACUGGGCGUAAAGGGCGCGUAGGCGGCCUUCUAAGUCAGACGUGAAAUCCCCCGGCUUAACCUGGGAACUGCGUCUGAUACUGGGGGGCUUGAGUAUGGGAGAGGGAUGUAGAAUUCCAGAUGUAGCGGUGAAAUGCGUAGAGAUGCGGAGGAACACCGAUGGCGAAGGCAGCCCCCUGGGUCGACACUGACGCUCAGGCACGAAAGCGUGGGGAGCAAACAGG